GUGCUUAAACAUGCAAGUCGAACGGGAUUCCCUGGCAGCUUGCUGCCGGGGUGAGAGUGGCGAACGGGUGAGUAAUGCGUGACCGACCUGCCCCAUGCACCGGAAUAGCUCCUGGAAACGGGUGGUAAUGCCGGAUGUUCCACAUGAGCGCAUGCGAGUGUGGGAAAGGCUUUUGCGGCAUGGGAUGGGGUCGCGUCCUAUCAGCUUGUUGGUGGGGUAACGGCCUACCAAGGCGUUGACGGGUAGCCGGCCUGAGAGGGCGACCGGCCACAUUGGGACUGAGAUACGGCCCAGACUCCUACGGGAGGCAGCAGUGGGGAAUAUUGCACAAUGGGCGCAAGCCUGAUGCAGCGACGCCGCGUGCGGGAUGGAGGCCUUCGGGUUGUAAACCGCUUUUGUUCAAGGGCAAGGCACGGUUUCGGCCGUGUUGAGUGGAUUGUUCGAAUAAGCACCGGCUAACUACGUGCCAGCAGCCGCGGUAAUACGUAGGGUGCAAGCGUUAUCCGGAUUUAUUGGGCGUAAAGGGCUCGUAGGCGGUUCGUCGCGUCCGGUGUGAAAGUCCAUCGCUUAACGGUGGAUCCGCGCCGGGUACGGGCGGGCUUGAGUGCGGUAGGGGAGACUGGAAUUCCCGGUGUAACGGUGGAAUGUGUAGAUAUCGGGAAGAACACCAAUGGCGAAGGCAGGUCUCUGGGCCGUUACUGACGCUGAGGAGCGAAAGCGUGGGGAGCGAACAGGAUUAGAUACCCUGGUAGUCCACGCCGUAAACGGUGGAUGCUGGAUGUGGGGCCCUUUUUUCCGGGUCCUGUGUCGGAGCUAACGCGUUAAGCAUCCCGCCCUGGGGAGUACGGCCGCAAGGCUAAAACUCAAAANAAAUUGAC
rnacentral:rRNA from 1 species